AUUGCACGCUGGCGGCAGGCCUAACACAUGCAAGUCGAGCGAGCGGCGGACGGUUGAGUAAUGUCUGGGAAACUUCCUGAUGGAGGGGGAUAACUACUGGAAACGGUAGCUAAUACCGCAUACCCUCAGAUGUGCCCAGAUGGGAUUAGCUCGUAGGUGGGGUAAUGGCUCACCUAGGCGACGAUCCCUAGCUGGUCUGAGAGGAUGACCAGCCACACUGGAACUGAGACACGGUCCAGACUCCUACGGGAGGCAGCAGUGGGGAAUAUUGCACAAUGGGCGCAAGCCGGAUGCAGCCAUGCCGCGUGUAUGAAGAAGGCCUUCGGGUUGUAAAGUACUUUCAGCGGGGAGGCGUUACCCGCAGAAGAAGCCCCGGCUAACUCCGUGCCAGCAGCCGCGGUAAUAC
rnacentral:rRNA from 1 species